ACAUCUGAUUCCUGCCUUUUCUUUCCUGUGCAGCCCUGACACUGCGAUGAUGAUACAGCUGGAAUAGAAGUCUUCUCACUCACCCUGGAGCAGGAAAUAAAAGCAGAGUCUCCUCUCCUCCCUGCCCGCCUUUCCCAGGGCCCUGGCCUCAAGGAACCACUGUGCCAGACCACCGUGGAGGACUUCUCACUUCUCAGGAAAAAGCCUCCUGACUCCAACAGAAGUAUUCGAAGCCCAUGGAAAACCUCACAAAUCCUAGAGAGAGUUAAAGAGGUGGUGAUAUUAAAGCAAACACUUUCCUGCUGUCCAAACAGACACGCCGUGGUUCUGAAUUCUGAUGGAAAGGAGGAACUUCAGACAGCGGCUGAGUGAGGUGACUUUCAUGCUCUGUUGCUGUCCCGCCAAAGGCACUUGAACCUUUCCAGG
rnacentral:lncRNA from 1 species